rnacentral:rRNA from 1 species
ACGAACGCUGGCGGCGUGCCUAAUACAUGCAAGUCGAGCGAAUCUUUCGGAACUUGUUCCGGAAGGUUAGCGGCGGACGGGUGAGUAACACGUGGGCAACCUGCCUGUAAGACUGGGAUAACACCGGGAAACCGGUGCUAAUACCGGAUAAUCCUUUUCCUCUCAUGAGGAGAAGCUGAAAGACGGCGUAAGCUGUCACUUACAGAUGGGCCCGCGGCGCAUUAGCUAGUUGGUGAGGUAACGGCUCACCAAGGCGACGAUGCGUAGCCGACCUGAGAGGGUGAUCGGCCACACUGGGACUGAGACACGGCCCAGACUCCUACGGGAGGCAGCAGUAGGGAAUCUUCCACAAUGGACGAAAGUCUGAUGGAGCAACGCCGCGUGAGCGAUGAAGGCCUUCGGGUCGUAAAGCUCUGUUGUUAGGGAAGAACAAGUACCGGAGUAACUGCCGGUACCUUGACGGUACCUAACCAGAAAGCCACGGCUAACUACGUGCCAGCAGCCGCGGUAAUACGUAGGUGGCAAGCGUUGUCCGGAAUUAUUGGGCGUAAAGCGCGCGCAGGCGGUCCUUUAAGUCUGAUGUGAAAGCCCACGGCUCAACCGUGGAGGGUCAUUGGAAACUGGGGGACUUGAGUACAGAAGAGGAAAGCGGAAUUCCACGUGUAGCGGUGAAAUGCGUAGAGAUGUGGAGGAACACCAGUGGCGAAGGCGGCUUUCUGGUCUGUAACUGACGCUGAGGCGCGAAAGCGUGGGGAGCAAACAGGAUUAGAUACCCUGGUAGUCCACGCCGUAAACGAUGAGUGCUAAGUGUUAGAGGGUUUCCGCCCUUUAGUGCUGCAGCUAACGCAUUAAGCACUCCGCCUGGGGAGUACGGCCGCAAGGCUGAAACUCAAAGGAAUUGACGGGGGCCCGCACAAGCGGUGGAGCAUGUGGUUUAAUUCGAAGCAACGCGAAGAACCUUACCAGGUCUUGACAUCCUCUGACACUCCUAGAGAUAGGAAUUUCCCCUUCGGGGGACAGAGUGACAGGUGGUGCAUGGUUGUCGUCAGCUCGUGUCGUGAGAUGUUGGGUUAAGUCCCGCAACGAGCGCAACCCUUGAUCUUAGUUGCCAGCAUUCAGUUGGGCACUCUAAGGUGACUGCCGGUGACAAACCGGAGGAAGGUGGGGAUGACGUCAAAUCAUCAUGCCCCUUAUGACCUGGGCUACACACGUGCUACAAUGGAUGGUACAAAGGGCAGCAAAGCCGCGAGGCCUAGCCAAUCCCAUAAAACCAUUCUCAGUUCGGAUUGUAGGCUGCAACUCGCCUACAUGAAGCCGGAAUCGCUAGUAAUCGCGGAUCAGCACGCUGCCGUGAAUACGUUCCCGGGCCUUGUACACACCGCCCGUCACAUCACGAAAGUGGAUUGUACUAGAAGUCUGCAGGCUGACCCGCAAGGGGGGCAGCGGCCCAAGGUAUGAUCCAUGAUUGGGGUGAA